CGGAUAAGCUUUAUUACGCUUUAAGACGGAUGCACGACGGAUACGCAAACAAGAAUAUCAAUUUUUCUGGAAGUCUGGUUAAAAGGGCAGGCGUCCAACUCGCCUCGUCUCUCUCGUUUGCUAUUUGUAUUCGUGGCGGUGGUGCACAUCGGUAUCCAACACAAGGGAACAUAUUGGAUCCACGUGCAUGCUGAUGUCGUCCAAUACUUGUUCUUUAUUGGAUGAACCACGCGGCGGAGAGAAUUUUAAAAACGCUAUCGGUAUAGCCGAUAUAUCGCCCGCCCGGUCGUGAAACCCGCUUGAAAAUAACCGCCCCGCGUCAAAUAUAAGGGAGGAGAAGAGGCAAGCGGGAGGAGGCGAGAUGAUAUCGGGAUUGUCAAUGGAGGGAAGGAAGAAGAAAAAGGAAAGGGGGUGAGUAACGUUACGAUCAAAUCUCCACUGUUCACUUUCGUGUAACUUAUAAACUGUUAGUCGUUCCCCCCAUCCCUGACGAUUUUCACCAAGUCGCGCAAAUAAGUCGACGCCAGACGAAAAAUAGAGUCAUAUUUCUGGGGGCAGCUGGCCGCCCGGCCACCGUCUCCACGGAGAUUCUAAUAAGAACCGCAUAAAGCUUAGAAAUUAAUGCCUUCCACCUAUCUUUCCCUCUCUUUCCCUCCUCCUUCCGCCCCCCCCUCCUCCCCUUUCCCUUGUUUUCUUACUUGCGAAAUCCGCUCGCGUCAGGACGCGCUUCGGAAUUUCUUGCUACUUUCCACGUCCUUUCUUUCUUCUCUCCAUCUUUUGUUCGAGGAACCACCUGGACUGACGUAAUCGGGAACCUCUCCUCCCCUCCUCUGCCCCUGAUUUAUGACGGGAAAAUAUCGUCGGUCCAGUGGCUUUCCGUUUGCCACAGUGUGUUAAAUCUGUCCCCCGGUGAAUCGUGAUUUCUCUGUUCCGUCCAAAUGGAUGGAAAGGCACGGGGCCAUUUGUUGAUCGUAUCGAUUCUCGCCGAUAUCGGCGAAGAAAGCUCGAUGCACGCGAAACAAUGUCGGUUUAAAAAAUUCAUAGGCACGAGGUUCGCUCUCCUUUCGUUUCGUCUCGUUUGUCGAACGCUCACGCUCGUAACGCGUAAGUUUUUUUCUUUUCCCAUUUCGUUUCGUUUUCUUUCACCCUCGAUUUACAUUCCCAAUCUUUACGCGCUUCAUACAUAUUCAACAAGAAU